rnacentral:lncRNA from 1 species
UUUUUUGUCUUCAUCUUGUUGUGAAAAAUAGAUCGGUGAAAAAACAAAACAAAUAUCUUUUCUUCUUAUUAACAUUUUCAUAUUAUCUGAUUUUUUAAGUAAAGAACAAAAUAAAUUGAAAAUGAACAUAAAAUGACUUAAGAAAUAAUCAUGAAUAAAUUUAAAAGCAUAGGGGCUAAUUAUUUAUUUUUUAAAACUAAAAAGACUAUUUAAU